rnacentral:rRNA from 1 species
UUAAGUUACAAAGGGCGCACGGUGGAUGCCUUGGCACUAGGAGCCGAUGAAGGACGGAACUAAUACCGAUAUGCUUCGGGGAGCUAUAAGUAAGCUUUGAUCCGGAGAUUUCCGAAUGGGGGAACCCAGUACACAUCAGUGUAUUGCCUGCAAGUGAAUACAUAGCUUGUUGGCGGCAGACGCGGGGAACUGAAACAUCUCAGUACCCGCAGGAAGAGAAAGAAAACUCGAUUCCCAUAGUAGCGGCGAGCGAAGUGGGAAGAGCCCAAACCGAGAAGCUUGCUUCUCGGGGUUGUAGGACUGGACAUUGGAGUUACCAAAGUUCGACGUAGUCGAAGUCAGCUGGAAAGCUGCGCCAUAGAAGGUGAAAGCCCUGUAAACGAAACGGCGGACUCUCCGUCCAGGAUCCUGAGUACGGCGGAACACGUGAAAUUCCGUCGGAAUCCGGGAGGACCAUCUCCCAAGGCUAAAUACUCCCUAGUGACCGAUAGUGAACCAGUACCGUGAGGGAAAGGUGAAAAGCACCCCGGAAGGGGAGUGAAACAGUUCCUGAAACCGUGUGCCUACAAUUAGUCAAAGCCCGUUAACGGGUAAUGGCGUGCCUUUUGUAGAAUGAACCGGCGAGUUACGUUUGCCUGCGAGGUUAAGAUGAAAAGUCGGAGCCGGAGCGAAAGCGAGUCUGAACAGGGCGCUUCAGUAGGUAGAUGUAGACCCGAAACCAAGUGACCUACCCAUGACCAGGUUGAAGGUGUGGUGAAACACACUGGAGGACCGAACCCAUGUAUGUUGAAAAAUGCUGGGAUGAGUUGUGGGUAGCGGUGAAAUUCCAAACGAACUUGGAGAUAGCUGGUUCUCUCCGAAAUAGCUUUAGGGUUAGCCUCGGAGGAUGGAUCAUGGAGGUAGAGCACUGUUUGAACUAGGGGCCCGUCAAGGGUUACUGAAUUCAGAUAAACUCCGAAUACCAUUGAUCUUACUCCGGGAGUCAGACAGUGAGCGAUAAGGUCCAUUGUCGAAAGGGGAACAGCCCAGAUCACCAGUUAAGGUCCCUAAAUUUAUGCUAAGUGGAAAAGGAUGUGGCGUUGCACAGACAACUAGGAUGUUGGCUCAGAAGCAGCCACCAUUUAAAGAGUGCGUAAUAGCUCACUAGUCGAGUGGCACUGCGCCGAAAAUAUACCGGGGCUAAGCAUAAUACCGAAACUGUGGGUGCACCCGUCAGGGUGCGCGGUAGGAGAGCGUUCUAAGGGCGUUGAAGGUCGAUCGUGAGGACGGCUGGAGCGCUUAGAAGUGAGAAUGCCGGCAUGAGUAGCGAAAGAUCAGUGAGAAUCUGAUCCACCGUAUGACUAAGGUUUCCUGGGGAAGGCUCGUCCUCCCAGGGUUAGUCGGGAUCUAAGGCGAGGCCGCAAGGCGUAGUCGAUGACAAGCAGGUUGAGAUUCCUGCACUAGUUUAUUUUGUUUAAGCGAUGGAGGGACGCAGGAGGCUAAGGAAAGCGCACGGCUGGAAAAGUGCGUCCAAGCAGUAAGUCCGGUAGCGAGUGAAAUGCUUGCCGCCUUAAGGACAAGCUGUGAUGGGGAGCGAAAUUAAAGUAGCGAAGUUCCUGAUGUCACACUGCCAAGAAAAGCUUCUAGUGAGAAAUAAACUACCCGUACCGCAAACCGACACAGGUAGUCGAGGAGAGUAUCCUCAGGUGAGCGAGCGAACUCUCGUUAAGGAACUCGGCAAAAUGACCCCGUAACUUCGGAAGAAGGGGUGCUGACCGCAAGGUCAGCCGCAGUGAAUAGGCCCAAACAACUGUUUAUCAAAAACACAGGUCUCUGCUAAAUCGUAAGAUGAUGUAUAGGGGCUGACGCCUGCCCGGUGCUGGAAGGUUAAGAGGAUGAGUUAGCGCAAGCGAAGCCCAGAAUUGAAGCCCCAGUAAACGGCGGCCGUAACUAUAACGGUCCUAAGGUAGCGAAAUUCCUUGUCGGGUAAGUUCCGACCCGCACGAAAGGCGUAAUGAUUUGGGCACUGUCUCAACGAGAGACUCGGUGAAAUUAUAGUACCCGUGAAGAUGCGGGUUACCCGCGACAGGACGGAAAGACCCCAUGGAGCUUUACUGUAGCUUGAUAUUGAGUGUUGGUACCGCUUGUACAGGAUAGGUAGGAGCCGUAGAGAUCGGAACGCUAGUUUCGAUGGAGGCAUUGGUGGGAUACUACCCUAGCUGUAUGAACACUCUAACCCGCGCCACUAAUCGUGGCGGGAGACAGUGUCAGGUAGGCAGUUUGACUGGGGCGGUCGCCUCCUAAAAUGUAACGGAGGCGCCCAAAGGUUCCCUCAGAAUGGUUGGAAAUCAUUCGCAGAGUG